rnacentral:rRNA from 1 species
UUCGGGGUACACGAGCGGCGAACGGGUGAGUAACACGUGGGUGAUCUGCCCUGCACUUCGGGAUAAGCCUGGGAAACUGGGUCUAAUACCGGAUAUGACCUUCGGCUGCAUGGCCGAGGGUGGAAAGGUUUACUGGUGCAGGAUGGGCCCGCGGCCUAUCAGCUUGUUGGUGGGGUAAUGGCCUACCAAGGCGACGACGGGUAGCCGACCUGAGAGGGUGACCGGCCACACUGGGACUGAGACACGGCCCAGACUCCUACGGGAGGCAGCAGUGGGGAAUAUUGCACAAUGGGCGAAAGCCUGAUGCAGCGACGCCGCGUGAGGGAUGACGGCCUUCGGGUUGUAAACCUCUUUCAGCA